AUACGGAGGGUGCAAGCGUUGUCCGGAUUUAUUGGGUUUAAAGGGUGUGUAGGCGGUGUAUUAAGUCAGUGGUGAAAGCCUGCGGCUCAACCGUAGAACUGCCAUUGAUACUGACACACUUGAGUUUGGUUGAGGUAGGCGGAAUUUAUGGUGUAGCGGUGAAAUGCAUAGAUACCAUAAAGAACACCGAUAGCGAAGGCAGCUUACUAAGCCGAAACUGACACUGAGGCACGAAAGCGUGGGGAGCGAACAGGAUUAGAAACCCCAGUAGUCC
rnacentral:rRNA from 1 species